ACCCAAAUCCAGCUGGGAGGAGCCCAUGCUACUAGACUUCCCAGGGACUGACGCCCCAGGUCAGGUAGGCCCAGAGGGGGAGACUGGAAGUAGCCCAGGGGCAGCUGACUCCAGUCAGACUGCAGGUAUACCCGAACCCAUGUCAGUGUGUUGCAG